CGGGCUGCUGCACCAGUGGGGAAUAGUGGACAAUGGGGGAAACCCUGAUCCAGCAAUGCCGCGUGUGUGAAGAAGGCCUGCGGGUUGUAAAGCACUUUCGGUUGGGAGGACUGCUUCUAGCACUAAUAUUGUUGGAAGUUGACGUUACCUUCAGAAGAAGCACCGGCUAACUCCGUGCCAGCAGCCGCGGUAAUACGGAGGGUGCAAGCGUUAAUCGGAAUUACUGGGCGUAAAGCGCGCGUAGGCGGCUAGAUCAGUCGGGUGUGAAAGCCCCGGGCUUAACCUGGGAACUGCAUCCGAUACUGUCUAGCUUGAGUACAGGAGAGGAGAGUGGAAUUCCACAUGUAGCGGUGAAAUGCGUAGAUAUGUGGAGGAACACCAAUGGCGAAGGCAGCUCUCUGGCCUGAUACUGACGCUGAGGUGCGAAAGCGUGGGGAGCAAAUAGGAUUAGAUACCCCUGUAGUC
rnacentral:rRNA from 1 species